UCUUCAACGGAGAGUUUGAUCCUGGCUCAGGACGAACGCUGGCGGCGUGCUUAACACAUGCAAGUCGAGCGGUAAGGCCCUUCGGGGUACACGAGCGGCGAACGGGUGAGUAACACGUGGGUGAUCUGCCCUGCACUUCGGGAUAAGCCUGGGAAACUGGGUCUAAUACCGGAUAUGACCUUCGGCUGCAUGGCUGAGGGUGGAAA
rnacentral:rRNA from 1 species